rnacentral:rRNA from 1 species
GACGAACGCUGGCGGCGUGCUUAACACAUGCAAGUCGAGCGGUAAGGCCCCUUCGGGGGUACACGAGCGGCGAACGGGUGAGUAACACGUGAGCAAUCUGCCCUUCACACGGGGAUAACUCCGGGAAACCGAAUCUAAUACCCGAUACGACCACUUCAGGCAUCUGAUGGUGGUGGAAAGUUCCGGCGGUGAAGGAUGAGCUCGCGGCCUAUCAGCUUGUUGGUGGGGUAACGGCCCACCAAGGCAACGACGGGUAGCCGGCCUGAGAGGGUGACCGGCCACACUGGGACUGAGACACGGCCCAGACUCCGACGGGAGGCAGCAGUGGGGAAUAUUGGACAAUGGGCGAAAGCCUGAUCCAGCAACGCCGCGUGAGGGAUGACGGCCUUCGGGUUGUAAACCUCUUUCAGCAGGGACGAAGCGCAAGUGACGGUACCUGCAGAAGAAGCACCGGCCAACUACGUGCCAGCAGCCGCCGUAA